AUCCCUGUGAGAAUGCCCUAUCUUUACCCAGCUACAGAGGAAGACAGGAGCUGGUAUCAGGCACAACUAGUUUUUAGCCCAAGACACCUUGCUUAGCCACACCCCCACGGGAAUUCAGCAGUAAUAAACAUUAAGCCAUGAGUGAAAACUCGACUUAGUUAAUAUCAAGAGGGCCGGUUAAACUCGUGCCAGCCGCCGCGGUUAUACGAGAGGCCCAAGUUGACGAAGCCCGGCGUAAAGAGUGGUUAAUAAGACAAAUACUAAAGCCGAACACCCUCAAGACCGUUAUACGUACCCGAGGGUAGGAAGACCUUUAACGAAAGUGGCUUUAAUUAAUAUGAACCCACGAAAGCUAGGAAACAAACUGGGAUUAGAUACCCCACUAUGCCUGGCCCUAAACACAAAUAUAAACCUACUCUAAAUAUUCGCCUGGGAACUACGAGCCCUAGCUUAAAACCCAAAGGACUUGGCGGUGCUUUAGACCCCCCUAGAGGAGCCUGUUCUAGAACCGAUACUCCCCGUUCAACCUCACCCUCCCUUGUCCUUCCCGCCUAUAUACCGCCGUCGUCAGCUUACCCCGUGAGAGAUUAACAGUAAGCAAAAUUGGCUAAGCCCAAAACGUCAGGUCGAGGUGUAGCGUACGAGAGGGGAAGAAAUGGGCUACAUUUACUGAUUCAGUAAACACGGACAUUGCACUGAAAUAAGCAUCUGAAGGAGGAUUUAGCAGUAAGGGGCGAACAGAGCGCCCCCCUGAAAACGGCCCUUAAGCGCGCACACACCGCCCGUCACUCUCCCCAAACACCAUAAACCCCAUACCUAAUAAGAUAUUAGUACACAAGGGGAGGCAAGUCGUAACAUGGUAAGUGUACCGGAAGGUGCACUUGGAAAAACC
rnacentral:ncRNA from 1 species